GGCCCCCGGUUUAAAGUGAUUGUUACGCAAACAAGCGAUCGCAUUACGAACAGCCCCUUUUACUUAGAAACCACUAGCCCCCAACCCCCAAAACACAUACAACAAACUACAGGCAGCAUUCAACCACUUCAUCACGCUUUGCCUCCCCUGUCAAAGCAGCACAGAAACAGGUAAACGGGCUCUUCAAGCAAGACUGCCUUGUGGAGGCUAUUGCAGGGCGAUAUUGAUGCACGGAGAGACAGAGAAGUGGGAUAGAUCUGUGUCGAAUUUCUAGGGCUGUCUUGAAGGAACCAAAGAUGAGGUAACAAUGUGGAGCAAACGAUUUACCACGGCAAUUAGGAAAUGCGUUUUCACUUAAAUGAUAGAAGAAACCUGGAGAUAGUAAAAACUGCAGAUGCUGGAGUCAGAGAUAACACAGUGUGGAGCUGGAGGAACACAGCAGGCCAGACAGCAUCAGAGCAGCAGGAAAGUUGACGUUUCAGGUUGCGACCCUUCUUCAGAAACCUGGAAUUUGCCUCACCUCACAGCCACUACCUGGACUUUGCCAUGUUACAUGCUCUCACAAGUCCCAGCAUGUAAUUGGAUGACAUUUAACCCUGAUAAGUGUGAAGUGAAUGAAUGUCAGGACAUUGGGUAGCUUAGAGGAACAGAGGGAUCUUGUGAGUAAUUAUUCACAGAUCCCUGAAGUUGGCAGCGCACGUGAGUAGGAUAGCUAGGAAUGCAUACGAGACACUUAUUCAAGAAGCACACAAUUUAUAGACAGUCAGUCAAUGUGGUGUUUUAUAAAUUCCUAAUUUAGAAAUAAGAUCAGUCUGACUCCAAACCAAAACACAAACAGAUUCUAAACAAGGCCUCACACCUAACAUGCAUUGUCUGACCUAAAAGGCCACCUCUUCUCUACACUGAUAAAACAUUCAGUUCUCUCAGGACAGUGACUUGAAAGGAACUCAGGGAUUUACAUAUACAUAUUAAUCAAUUAAAAUCUUCUGAUUAAAGAUUUAGCU